rnacentral:rRNA from 1 species
GAUGAACGCUGGCGGCGUGCCUAAUACAUGCAAGUCGAGCGAACAGACGAGGAGCUUGCUCCUCUGACGUUAGCGGCGGACGGGUGAGUAACACGUGGAUAACCUACCUAUAAGACUGGGAUAACUUCGGGAAACCGGAGCUAAUACCGGAUAAUAUAUUGAACCGCAUGGUUCAAUAGUGAAAGACGGUUUUGCUGUCACUUAUAGAUGGAUCCGCGCCGCAUUAGCUAGUUGGUAAGGUAACGGCUUACCAAGGCGACGAUGCGUAGCCGACCUGAGAGGGUGAUCGGCCACACUGGAACUGAGAUACGGUCCAGACUCCUACGGGAGGCAGCAGUAGGGAAUCUUCCGCAAUGGGCGAAAGCCUGACGGAGCAACGCCGCUUGAGUGAUGAAGGUCUUCGGAUCGUAAAACUCUGUUAUUAGGGAAGAACAAAUGUGUAAGUAACUAUGCACGUCUUGACGGUACCUAAUCAGAAAGCCACGGCUAACUACGUG